AACAAACGCUGGCGGCAGGCUUAACACAUGCAAGUCGAACGCCCCGCAAGGGGAGUGGCAGACGGGUGAGUAACGCGUGGGAAUCUACCGUACCCUACGGAACAACUCCGGGAAACUGGAGCUAAUACCGUAUACGCCCUACGGGGGAAAGAUUUAUCGGGGUAUGAUGAGCCCGCGAUGGAUUAGCUAGUUGGUGGGGUAAAGGCCUACCAAGGCGACGAUCCAUAGCUGGUCUGAGAGGAUGAUCAGUCACAUUGGGACUGAGACACGGCCCAAACUCCUACGGGAGGCAGCAGUGGGGAAUAUUGGACAAUGGGCGCAAGCCUGAUCCAGCCAUGCCGCGUGAGUGAUGAAGGUCUUAGGAUUGUAAAGCUCUUUCACCGAUGAAGAUAAUGACGGUAGUCGGAGAAGAAGCCCCGGCUAACUUCGUGCCAGCCGCCGCAGUAA
rnacentral:rRNA from 1 species